rnacentral:rRNA from 1 species
AUUGAACGCUGGCGGAAUGCUUUACACAUGCAAGUCGAGCGGCAGCACGGGGGUAACCCUGGUGGCGAGCGGCGAACGGGUGAGUAAUACAUCGGAACAUGCCCAGUCGUGGGGGAUAACACUUCGAAAGAAGUGCUAAUACCGCAUACGUCCUGAGGGAGAAAGCGGGGGAUCGCAAGACCUCGCGCGAUUGGAGUGGCCGAUGUCAGAUUAGCUAGUUGGUGGGGUAAAGGCCUACCAAGGCAACGAUCUGUAGCUGGUCUGAGAGGAUGAUCAGCCACCAUGGGAAUGAGAGACGCCCCAGGCUCCGACGGGAGGCAGCAAGGGGGAAUUUUGGACAAUGGGGGCAACCCUGAAACAGCCAUUCCGCGGGGAUGAAGAAGGCCUGCGGGUUGUAAAGCUCUUUCGGCAGGAACGAAACGGUGAGCUCUAACAUAGCUUGCUAAUGACGGUACCUGAAGAAGAAGCACCGGCUAACUACGU